rnacentral:lncRNA from 1 species
GUUCUAGAAACAUGAUCUCCUUUUUUCUCCCCCACAAGUUUUCUCUUUGGAAAAAGAGAUUUAGUGGAAUUUAGACUUACAAAUUGGACACAUCAAUUUAUGUAUAGCCUCUGCAUCACUUUUUAGCUUUGUCUUUUAACCUUUCAUUUUCAUUCUGUAGCCUUUGUAGAAAUUGCGCCUAUGGAAUCUCCUUCCUGACUCUAAAAAAUAUGGUCCAGGUGCUUUAUGUUUCCAGGAAUGAAAGAGCCUCUGAAUGCUUGGGAGCAUUUGGAGUCAAAAAAAAAAAAAAAAAAAAGGAAUUAUGUUGUUUGGUGACAAGAAAAUAUAAUUUUGUGUGAGCUGUAGUUGACAAUACCACAUAUUAUCUUUAUUGAUUACAGUCAGUUUUGAAGAUAUAAGUACUUUAUGGUCCUUAAUUUGUAGAUUAGAUUUGUUUGUUUAAUAAUUUAGCAUGUUGAAUUUUCCCUUUGAAUUUUUAUUCUUCUGGAAAUCUUUCCAGAGUUCAGGUUUUUUUAAUGCUAGGAUUCAUGUUAGGAUUGUUGGAGUUCUGUUUAUAAACUGAUUUGCAAUAGACUUUCAAUAAAUUAGGAUACCACUUUCUUCUUUUAUUUCCUCACACAGUUUUUGAUAAGCAAGGCUGGAUCAAAAGUAACUUUCCCAUCUAAAGUGAAUUUUCAAAAUGAAGUCUUUUAGAUUACCUGUCACUAUUAUAAAGCUAAUUAGAAAAUUUGAGUUAUUUCAAAAAGCUGUCAAUUUUGACAGCUUGACCUUGAUGACUUUUUUUGUCAUUCUUUCACUGAUACAUGGUGCCAUCUGCUGUUUGUGGGAAGUAGAUUAUAUUUUGAAUCACUAGGCAGAAUAGAUGUAUAAUCUCCAAAAGAAAAAUACAUUGUAGAUGAAAUGGGAAGAUGCAGGAGUAUGACCUGUUCAAAACUUUGAGGCAUGUGAUUUAUUUGCUUAUUUUUUUUAUGUAAAAUCAUUUUCAAAAACUAAUUUAUCAUUUAUUAAGAUGUCAUGUUAAACUGGUAGAAACUUUUUAAAACAAUGGCUUAUUUUAGAGAAUUUGAUCAAUUCAAAGAAGAAAAUUUAAAACUAAUUCUGCUAGCCAUGAGAUAACUAUUAUUAAUCUUAAAAUCAUUUUUAAAAACCUGGUUAUCUCUAAUAUUGCAUGCAUCACAAGAUUUUUACUCGUCUUAAUUUCGUUUUCGUGCUCCUGUAUCUUGGGUUUCCUCUUAGAGUACAAUAUUCUUGGCCCCAAGUGAACCAUCCAUUUGUUGGUUGGUGGAUUAAGGCUCCCUUGGUUUCUUUUUUGUGGGUACUUUGGCCACCUUUUCUGUAAUCCUUCCCCUGGUCAUUGGCAUAGAAGCAGUGUAGGGUAUGGAAUGAGAAAGACCUGGUUUCCAGCCAGGCACUGCUGCUUACAGGCUGUGCAGCCCCAGGCAAAUCUUUUCACUUGGCAGCUCUGUUUCCUCUUCUGUAAAAAGGAGAUAAUAAUAUCCAUCCUGUAGUAUUGCUGUCAGGAUUAGAUGAGGUAAUACUUGUCAUAUGCCAGGCAUAGUCCUCUCUUUUCAUUAAAAUGUGAUUAAGUUCAGGUUCAGUGAAUUUCCUUUUCACCUUUUUUAAAGAUACCUUUGCCAUGAGUCAGAUUUUGUUAUUAUAAAAUCAUAAGCUCUUCCAGUGGAAAGAACUUUAGCAAGUGGGUCUCAUAUUUUAUUAUGCAUUUAUCACCUGGUGAUCCUAUUUAACUGCCAGUUCAGAUUCUGGUUGGUAUUUCUGGGAUAAGAUGCCUGAGACUCUGUACCUCUGACUCACUUUUAGGUGAUGCUAAUACUCCCUCCACACAGUACACUUUGUGUAGCAAGGCUUUAGAUGACAGCAAACAAAAAACAACUGAUAAAGCUCCUGGUUUUCCUUUCACACACUUAAUCUCAUGUACUAUUCAUUAGAGCUUCAUUUCUUGGAGUUCCCUGGUGACCUAGCAGUUAAGGAUCUGGUAUUGUCACUGCUGUUGCGUGGAUUUGAUCCCUGAUCUGAGAAUUUUUGUAUGCCGCGGGUGCAGCAGAAAAAAAAAGGGGGGGAACUGCAUUUCUUUGUAGAAAAAAAUGCACCCAGAGUCUCUCUCCAGAAGACACUGCAGAUUAAUUUCUAAUUUCUUACUCUUAUUCUCAGCAGUAACAUUUAGAGAAUGACAUUCAAGACCUAAUCAUUUAUCACCCGAGAGAUGUAACCUCUAAAUACUUAAUUGGAACCAAUUAACCAAUUCAGAAUUCAAGGACAACUUUUAUUUCUAUUGGUAAUAUGUUACCCAUUUGUAUUGUCUUUAAACUUUUACAGCAUUGAAUAAUGAAAAGCUAAGUAAAUUAGUUCUAAAAUCUCAAUAUAAAUUCUAGAGCAAUUACUUGACUCAAAUAAGAUUUUUUUUGGGGUGCAUUGAAUAUAUAAUGCUUCCCUGUUGGUGUUGGAAUUUUCCCCCACACUGGUUGAUUUUAUUUAAGCCUGAAUACUCAGUGCGUCAGUGUGGAUUCAACUCAAUGCAUCAGGGUAUAGUGUCUGUCCACAUAGUCUAAGAAAGAAUGGCUUUGAUUUUACCCAGACAUAAACUUGUUCACACCUGAGGGUUUAUCCAUCCCAGUCACAGUUUCAGGGUCCUAAAGGAAAUUAAAACAGGUGUAAAAUAAAUUCUGCUUUGGGACAUAUAAAUUUGAUUUAAAAAGUAAAAAUUAUUGCCUAGAGAAUAACUUAGUGGGCAGAACCUUUUUUCUAAAUUCAAUCUUAAGUGGAAGAACAACAUUGCCCUUUUUGCCUACCUCCCUUGAAGUGGCCUUAAGAACAUCCUACUUUAAAAAAAAAAAAAAAAAA